UACGGGGGGGGCAAGCGUUGUUCGGAAUUACUGGGCGUAAAGGGCUCGUAGGCGGCCAACUAAGUCAGACGUGAAAUCCCUCGGCUUAACCGGGGAACUGCGUCUGAUACUGGAUGGCUUGAGAUUGGGAGAGGGAUGCGGAAUUCCAGGUGUAGCGGUGAAAUGCGUAGAUAUCUGGAUGAACACCGGUGGCGAAGGCGGCAUCCUGGACCAACACUGACGCUGAGGAGCGAAAGCCAGGGGAGCAAACGGG
rnacentral:rRNA from 1 species